rnacentral:lncRNA from 1 species
ACCUGGGCUCAAGCAAUCCUCCUGCUGACGUCAGCCUUCUGGGUAGCUGGGACUACAGUUUGCUGAGAAUGAUGGUUUCCAGCUUCAUCCGUGUCCCUGCAAAGUGAUCUAAACUUGAAGACCUCGGAAACAAGGAAGAAUUGAAGAAUUGAAAAGCUCAUAUUUCAGCUGAAGAAUAACUAAAUGAAACAUCACCCCAAAUGAUUUCUGAUUAUAAGACAAUAUUCGAAAUAAGGAAAACAAUACAACCUAUGUAAGGAACUAGCUGCAUGGAGCUUGCAGUGAGCCAAGACCACACCACUGCACUCCAGCCUGGGCAACAGAGCAAGACUCUGUCUCAAAAAAAAAAAAAAAGGAACUAGCCACAUCACCUCCUCAGCCACUCUUGGCCCUGAUUCUGGCCAUGGAGUGGGCAAUGGUGACUGAUUGGACAAGACGCUUCCAUACCCCCUUCCUCCUGAAAGCUAUCCUCCCACCUUGGCCUCUCAAAGUAUGGGGAUUACAAAUGUAAGCCACCACCCCUGACCUGUCUUUUUAAUGCCUAGAAACCACUGUGACAAAUGGGACUGUCUUUUGUUGGCCCUCAGACUGCUGGAAUCUGGAGUGCCGAGGAAAGGAAGCUAUGAAAGCUUCUCAACAACGGAGAGGAGGAAGGCAAUGAGCAGAGGAAAAUGGAGUCACAGCACCCUGACACCUAAGAUCUGCCUAGCCUCAAAUAUAUGUUCUCCUUUUGAGGCAGAAAAAUAGGAUCUGGAGACAGGAAACAUAAGGCCAAUUCACACUUCAGCUAUGACAGGAAAUUUCCUCUCCAUAGGCCGUAUGCCG